AAAAAUUCUGCUUGCCGUCUUUAAAAAGCUUGAUGGUCAAAAUAAUAGAGGCACCACUUCCGAGUGGAAAAAAGAACAUUUCCUUCUCUUUUUUUGCCUUAUUAUUUUCUGAGCUUGUACAAUAUAGCCAAACUCGAGUAAGUUCCGUUCCAGAACUUGAAAAAAGGUUGGCAGAAGUUGGCCGUAGAGUAGGAAUUCGCUUUCUUGAACUUCUACAAUUUCGGGAUAAAAGUUUUAGGCAUCAUAUAGAUUUAAUACAAGUACUUUAUUAUAUAAACUCCACUGUCUGGAAAUCUUUGUUUGGGUAUCCCGCAGGUGUAAUUGAGAUGGAGAAAUCCGCUGAUCAGGACACAUAUAUGAUUAGUGACCAAAGUAUGCUAUUGAACACCUAUAUAUCUGUCCCUCGCGAUAAGAGUGGAUUGAAUUGCGCUGCUUUUGUAAGUGGAAUCGUGGAGGCGGUUUUGGAAGGGACAAAUUUCCCUGCUAAGGUUAGCGUUCAUAACACUCAUCGCGGGACCACCAUACUUAUGAAGUUUGAAAAGCACGUUCUGCAAAGAAACUCAAGCAAAAUAUAAGUAGCAUAUAAGUGAGUAAGAGAAGAGCUCCA